CCUACGGGCGGCUGCAGUGGGGAAUAUUGGACAAUGGGCGAAAGCCUGAUCCAGCCAUGCCGCGUGUGUGAAGAAGGCCUUCGGGUUGUAAAGCACUUUCAGUGGGGAAGAAAGCCUCGGGGCUAAUACCCUCGAGGAAGGACAUCACCCACAGAAGAAGCACCGGCUAACUCCGUGCCAGCAGCCGCGGUAAUACGGAGGGUGCGAGCGUUAAUCGGAAUUACUGGGCGUAAAGCGCGUGUAGGCGGUCUGAUAAGCCGGUUGUGAAAGCCCCGGGCUCAACGUGGGAACGGCAUCCGGAACUGUCAAGCUAGAGUGCAGGAGAGGGAGGUAGAAUUCCCGGUGUAGCGGUGAAAUGCGUAGAGAUCGGGAGGAAUACCAGUGGCGAAGGCGGCCUUCUGGACUGACACUGACGCUGAGGUGCGAAAGCGUGGGUAGCAAACAGGAUUAGAUACCCCAGUAGUC
rnacentral:rRNA from 1 species